UACGUAGGCAGCGAGCGUUGUUCGGAGUUACUGGGCGUAAAGGGUGUGUAGGCGGUUCUUUAAGUUUGGUGUGAAAUCUCCCGGCUCAACCGGGAGGGUGCGCCGAAUACUGAGGGACUAGAGUACGGGAGAGGAAAGUGGAAUUCCUGGUGUAGCGGUGAAAUGCGUAGAUAUCUGGAGGAACACCGGUGGCGAAGGCGGCAUCCUGGACCGAGAUUGACGCUGAGGCGCGAAAGCUAGGGUAGCAAACGGG
rnacentral:rRNA from 1 species